CCUACGGGAGGCAGCAGUGGGGAAUCUUGCGCAAUGGGCGAAAGCCUGACGCAGCAACGCCGCGUGCGGGAUGAAGGCCUUCGGGUUGUAAACCGCUUUUAACAGGAACGAAAAUGACGGUACCUGUAGAAUAAGGUGCGGCCAACUACGUGCCAGCAGCCGCGGUGACACGUAGGCACCAAGCGUUGUCCGGAUUUAUUGGGCGUAAAGAGCUCGUAGGCGGUUCAGUAAGUCGGGUGUGAAAACUCUGGGCUUAACCCAGAGACGCCACUCGAUACUAUUGUGACUAGAGUUCGGUAGGGGGGCGGGGAAUUCCUAGUGUAGCGGUGAAAUGCGCAGAUAUUAGGAGGAACACCGGUGGCGAAGGCGCCGCUCUGGGCCGAUACUGACGCUGAGGAGCGAAAGCGUGGGUAGCAAACAGGAUUAGAUACCCUGGUAGUCCACGCCGUAAACGGUGGGCACUAGGUGUGGGCUCCAACCAACGGAGUCCGCGCCGUCGCUAACGCAUUAAGUGCCCCGCUGGGGAUACGGCCGCAAGGUUAAAACUCAAAUGAAUUGACGG
rnacentral:rRNA from 1 species